GAUGAACGCUGGCGGCGUGCCUAAUACAUGCAAGUCGAGCGAACAGACGAGGAGCUUGCUCCUCUGACGUUAGCGGCGGACGGGUGAGUAACACGUGGAUAACCUACCUAUAAGACUGGGAUAACUUCGGGAAACCGGUGCUAAUACCGGAUAAUAUAUUGAACCGCAUGGUUCAAUAGUGAAAGACGGUUUUGCUGUCACUUAUAGAUGGAUCCGCGCCGCAUUAGCUAGUUGGUAAGGUAACGGCUUACCAAGGCAGCGAUGCGUAGCCGACCUGAGAGGGUGAUCGGCCACACUGGAACUGAGACACGGUCCAGACUCCUACGGGAGGCAGCAGUAGGGAAUCUUCCGCAAUGGGCGAAGGCCUGACGGAGCAACGCCGCGUGAGUGAUGAAGGUCUUCGGAUCGUAAAACUCUGUUAUUAGGGAAGAACAAAUGUGUAAGUAACUAUGCACGUCUUGACGGUACCUAAUCAGAAAGCCACGGCUAACUACGUG
rnacentral:rRNA from 1 species